CGACCCAGUAACCACGUCUCCGCCUCUCCGGUUAUUAUACCUAAAAACCAGAAAGUAAAAGAUAUUAUACUCUCUUGGAUCGAGAAUCUACUGCAGGUUAAUGAAAUUUGGUACAACGUUAAGGAUUUUGGUAUCACAUCGAUCUAGUACAGCUUGAAGCCCAGGGUGUCGUAGGUACACCUUGAAGCCUCUUGUGUCUUACACUAUCUGAGCUCCUUGGACUCAAGGUGAGUUUUCCUUAACCUUGACUCCUUAAAUAACCUCGUUAAAUGGAAUUUUUACCUUAUAAAUGUUCGUAUUUAGUGUUGGCCCCCUUAACAGGUUGAAAUGGCAAAUGGUUGGCCCCCUUAACAGGUUGAAAUGGCAAAUGGUUGUAUCGGAAGAAAGUCCAGGAUUUGAUUAAUGCAAUUCCCGUUGAGGUGUUGUGCUCCUUGAAAAUGAGAGAUUCUGCAAAGGAGAAUUAACGAAUGACCCUGAGUUUGGGAGCAAUCUAGCAUCUAUUGCCCACAUUUAUGUUAAUGCUUGUUUUCUAACUGCUCACAGAAUUGAUGCUUCCUCGGUGGGAGUUGCUAAGUUCUUAAGGCUGUCUGUGGCUGGAUUCCUCAUUCACAAGUUAUGCUAUUUUAUAUUAUUUAGUGCAUUGUGACAACAUCCAUCAUCUCUGUUUUUGGUAGCCAUAGUAGUACAGUUAAUAAUAAUAAUUUGUGACAACAUCCAACAUCUCUGUUUCAGUACCUAUGCAUUUCUCGCAGCUGCUAGUUGUGAUACUAAACUAAACAAAGGCAACUCUUCCAUGGUCGGGUCAAAAAAGUUAAUAUCUCUUGUGAUUUUAUGACAAUCACCCUAUUUUUCUGUUUUCAUUGUUGGAUUAACUUUUGUGUUACUGUUUAAGAUUAAAUUAUUUGUUAAAUUUGUACUUAUAUGACGUUUUGCGACCUUUUAACUAUUAUUUGUUAAAUUAGAAUGAACACCAUGAUAUUGUUCUUCAACCAGGUACUCGGAUAGGUUGGGACCAAAUUUACACAUUACAUAUGAGGACUUUAUUAUUGAUUAUGUACUUGCUGCAUUACAGGUCAUGGCACAAAAAAUAUCCAAUGAUCAUCCAGUACCCGGCACCCGAAGGACCAACCACGGAUGAUUGUCGCAGUCCUGACUUUGAGUCGAAUACUUUUACCAGGAAUGUGGAUCCUGCAUUGAUGCACAUUCUUUCAACAAUUUUGGCUGUGAGGAAUCUACAAAUCAGAAUGUGAAUGACAAAGAAGGGAACAUACUGAUUACUGGAUAUGUGGUGAUCGAUUUGGAAGGACCCUCUUCAAGGUGAUGACUAUUGGUUGUGGCUGGGUGAUAUGGAAUAAGAAGCGAUUGUAAUCUGUAAAAUAAGAUCAAUUCCUAGCGAAGAGUUGAUGAUUUUUAGGACUAUUUGUUAGUUUUUUUCUUUUAUUUAGUUUUUACGAGUACUUGUGAUAUAUACAAGCUGAUGUUUAAACAAUUUUUUUUAAUUAAUUUUAUACUCUUUUA